rnacentral:ncRNA from 2 species
UAAAGAUAUCGUCGGCCGGGUGCCCUUUCAGGGAUAAUAGGGAAUCGGGUGCAAGUCCCGAACGGUCCCGCCACUGUAACCGUGAGCUUUGUUUGCAAUAAAACCACUCGACAACUAAAAGUUUGUCGGGGAAGGUUAGAACGAAGCAAUGACCGGAAGUCAGGAGACCUGCCCGGGCCGGAAGCCAGAA